CCUACGGGUGGCAGCAGUGGGGAAUAUUGCGCAAUGGGCGAAAGCCUGACGCAGCGACGCCGCGUGAGGGAUGAAGGUCUUCUGAUCGUAAACCUCUGUCAGCAGGGAAGAACGGUCACUGUGCUAAUCAGCAGUGAAUUGACGCUACCUGCCAAGGCAGCACCGGCUAACUCCGUGCCAGCAGCCGCGGUAAUACGGAGGGUGCGAGCGUUAAUCGGAAUUACUGGGCGUAAAGCGCUCGUAGGCGGUAUGUCAAGUCAAGGGGGAAAUCCCCGCGCUCAACGUGGGAACUGCCUUUGAAACUGGCAAACUGGAGUGUGUGAGAGGAGAGUGGAAUUCCAGGUGUAGGAGUGAAAUCCGUAGAUAUCGGGAGGAACAUCAGUGGCGAAGGCGACUAUCUGGCACAUAACUGACGCUGAGGAGCGAAAGCGUGGGUAGCAAACAGGAUUAGAUACCCGAGUAGUC
rnacentral:rRNA from 1 species